UACGGGGGGGGCAAGCGUUGUUCGGAAUUACUGGGCGUAAAGGGCUCGUAGGUGGCCAACUAAGUCAGACGUGAAAUCCCUCGGCUUAACCGGGGAACUGCGUCUGAUACUGGAUGGCUUGAGUUCGGGAGAGGGAAGCGGAAUUCCGGGUGUAGCGGUGAAAUGCGUAGAUAUCCGGAGGAACACCGGUGGCGAAGGCGGCUUCCUGGACCGAUCACUGACGCUGAGGCGCGAAAGCUAGGGGAGCAAACGGG
rnacentral:rRNA from 1 species